UACGGGGGGGGCAAGCGUUGUUCGGAAUUACUGGGCGUAAAGGGCUCGUAGGCGGCCAACUAAGUCAGACGUGAAAUCCCUCGGCUUAACCGGGGAACUGCGUCUGAUACUGGAUGGCUUGAAUCCGGGAGAGGGAUGCGGAAUUCCAGGUGUAGCGGUGAAACGCGUAGAUAUCUGGAGGAACACCGGUGGCGAAGGCGGCAUCCUGGACCGGCAUUGACGCUGAGGAGCGAAAGCGUGGGGAGCAAACAGG
rnacentral:rRNA from 1 species